ensembl:lncRNA
CGGCCGCCCCUUCCUCCCACCGCCCCCUCGCCAGCCACUACGGGAAGAAUUAUCAGUUUAAAAUGCUGACGAAACGCAUCUCACAAGAAGAUGCCACUUUCUGCCAUGGUGUUCCCAAAAGACCUCAUCAAGGCUGCAUGGUAACAGUUUUCUGCUCGCCUUUCCAGCAUAGUGUAGUUGUAAGCAACCCAGUUAUUGUUGUCUGAGCUCAGUUUGCUGCCUAAGGAAUGUAAUGUGUCUGUUAAAACAAUGAAAGUAUUUAGAUUGCAGGUGGAAUGGGAAUGAAGAUGAAAGUUCAGGGGAGUGGGAUAAAAAGAUUAGCUCUUUAUCAAGGUUGGUCUUUG